CAAUGUAAAGGGCAAUGGAAUCGGAUGGUUGUUGUUCAGUAGCAUUGAUGUGUUGGAAAAUGACAAAGAAAGGUUCAAGUAACCAAGGCCACAUGUUGAGGAGAGAAUUCUCAUACCCUGAAUGGAUUACUGAACACACAGGCUGAGUAUCUUCUGAUGGUCACAGCCAUCCAAUGUCUCGCUUCGCUGUUGUGACUGGAGCGGAAUCACAUGGGGGCCAGGAUCUCUUGGAAACUGCCAACCUGGAGAAAUGUUUCUGACUUCCCUUCUGGCCUGGACAAAUCACAAAG